CAUCGUGCGUGCUUAAACAUUUGUCUGUCGGAUCGCGCGGGCUUGUAUAAACGUGACUAUCAUGGCAUCCAGGUUGGAACGGUUUGUAAGCCCGGGCAAAGGUAACGGCCUGCGGGCGACAACUGGCAUUAAAGUUGGCCAGUUGAUCUUCUCCUGCGAACCCCUGGCGAGCUGUGUGUCCAACAAAGUAGCCAAAGACGUCUGUCAUCGGUGCUUCGCACGUUUCGGCGUCAUCUGGUUCUGUCUCUGUUUACAGCGCCACAGGCAUGAGACCUUGCUGAGGUGCUCUCAGUGCAAGAUGGCGCGCUAUUGCAACAUCACUUGCCAGAAACAAGCAUGGUCUGACCAUAAAAGGGAGUGCAAAUGUCUGCAACGUCUCCUUCCCAGAAUCCCUACCAACUCUGUCCGGUUGGCUGCGAGAGUCAUCUUUGCCUUGUCAACUCCAGUAAAGAGCAGCAGUGAGGAGUUCUACACUUUAGAUGAACAUGAAUCACAUCUGACCUCCAUGUCUGAGGAGAAGAAACAAGGCCUUUCUCAGCUGGCAUCCAUGCUGGAGUUGUACCUGCAACAGGAAGUGCCUGACUCCGCACAGGAAAUUACAUCGACCCUACCGCAGUCCUGCAGACAACCCCUGGACUUGAUUGCAAAGGUGACGUGUAAUUGUUUCACCAUCAGUGACAGAGAGCUGCAGGAGAUUGGAGUUGGGCUGUAUCCGAGUCUAUCGCUCCUAAACCACGACUGCAGGCCAAACUGUGUGAUGGUGUUUGAAGGGGCAAAGCUUCACCUCAGAGCUGUGCAGGAUAUCAGACCUGGAGAAGAGCUAACUAUAAGCUACAUAGGGACAUUGUCAUUGACUGAAGAGCGUCAGAAACAACUGGAGGACCAGUACCAUUUCACUUGCCACUGCCAGAAAUGUGACUCUCGAGACACAGACUGUCUCAUGUUGUCAGGCGAGGAGGAAAGAUGGCACCAGUUGAAGGAGGCUUUACCGAAACUGGAAGAACUAAAGGCAGUCUCAGAUUGGAAAACCCUCCUAGACAGUUGUACACGUCUGUUAUCAACUGUUGGUGCUGAUGUGCCUGAUGAAAACAUCUACAAACUCCAAUUGAUUGAUAUGGCUCUCGAUUCCUCCAUUCACCUCGGCCACUGGGAGGACGCUGUGAGAUACGGGGAGAGGACACUUCCAAUUUACAGACAGUACUACACUCAUCCCCAUCCUGUCCAUGGAAUCCAGCUGAUGAGAGUUGCAAAGCUGCAACAUUAUUUGGAGCGCGUUAAGGAUGCUCUGGAAACAUUCAAACAGGCCUUUGCAGUCCUACAGAUCACCCACGGUAUUGAUCACCCUUUGGUGGCUGACUUGUUGGUCAAGAUGGAAGAAUGUCGCUUUGAGAUGGAUCAGUAAUGAUGACGCAACAGUAGAGACAAUAAAACUUCCAACAUAAGAGGCAACUACAGGUGAGCAGAAUAAAUGAAAAAAGCAAAGCUGAACCCAGAGCUGGAACAGAUAGAUCACAGUACAACUGCCUCUAACGCCAUUUCUCUUGUCAGUGUUUUUUCUCUUUCUAUUUAGUAUUGCACUCUUUCUCCCAUCGUCUUUUACAGACCAUUAAGUAUGAUUUACUGCCAUCACUCUUUUUCUCUGGCUGCCUGUCACCUUCUGUCUCUCACUUGCCAGAAUGCUUCAAAUUAGAUUCAAGACCCCCCCCUGCAGACAGCAGACAGUCAGGUUCCAUCAAAAAAAAAAAAAAAGGGCACAAAAUGAUUUUCAUUGGUCUUACCCUUAAAUCUAGCCUACUAGUCUGCAGGUUAAACCCCAUUAUGUCUUCAAAAAGGAUGUCGUUCUGACGAUGACGGAGACACCUCAGCAUCAUGGCUCAAGUGAUACAGCGGCAAGAAAUAGGACGAUCACAGGUUUGACUCACUGUUCUUCCAAGAACUGUGUUACUGUGUGUGUUGUGAUGCAAACAUGACUUUGUCAUCAUGUUCCAAGAGCAGCGACGUGCAGUCAGGUGAGGCAGAAAUGAAUACUAACAUAAACUAAUAUUUGUCAUUGAACUGUGUAUAUGUAAUGUAUUCUCUGUACGAAUCCAAUCCUUUUUAACAAAGCUUCAUUUGCACGUCCUGAUCAAGUGAGGCUGCUGCCGCCGUGCCUGCAUACAGUCACACUGCACACUGAGGUGGAUGAUGGCAGAAACAGAUCGUGGCAGAAACAUCUAUUAUACACCAGCACGUGUCAUGUCUUUAAGGAGGCACUUGCAGUACCGCUGCAUCCAUUUCCAUAGAGGAAAAGGCCAGUUCGAUAUGUCGAAUAGAGUCAUGCUCCCCUUCCUCCAUCUGUAUGUCCUUCUACUUCCUUACAAGUAGAGGACACAUGAGGAUUACUGAGGUGAGUUCAUCAUUCAAAGUUGUCCCCCACCUGGCAGUUCCUCCGUCCAUCUACCGAUGUCUGGAUGACACAUCAAAGCACGUGAUCAUCAUGAGAUGAGCUUUGCAGAAGUUCACUCUGGUCUCCAGUUUGUCCGUCACUGUUUCCAGAGCUUCCAGAUACUCCAAAGAGUCCACCUCGUAGACCUGCUGCAGCUCAACUGGACCAUGAGACAAGAGACUUCAUUCCAAAAGGGGCAACAUCAACAAGAAGAGCGUAAUAAGAGAAGAAUAUCCACGGGAUGAUAUGUGAGUGAUUACAGGGAAGCCCAUACUUCCCUCUCCCCAGCUACUCCCGGCGGUUCCCGAGGCAUUCCCAGGCCAGUUGAGAGACAUAGUCUCUCCAUGUCCUGGGUCUUGCCCGAGGCCUCUUACCGGUUGGACACGACCUAAACACCUCCUCAGGGAGGUGUCCGGGAGGCAUCCUGAUCAGAUGCCCAAGCCAUCUGGCUCUUCUCAAUGCAGAGGAGCAGCGGUUCUACUCCGAGCUUCUCCCGGAUGAUCUCUAAGGGAGAGCCCAGCCAACUCAUUUCGGCCUCUUGUACCCACGACCUUGUCCUUUCGGUCGCUACUCAAGCUCAUGACCAUAGGUGAGGAUAGGAACGUAGAUUGACAGGUAAGUUGAGAGCGUUGUCUUUCGGCUCAGCUCCGUCUUCACCACAACGGACCAAUGCAGGAUCUGCAUCACUGCAGACGCAGCACCAAUCCACCUGUCGAUCUCGCAUUCCAUCCUACCCUAACUCAUCCUACCCCGAGGUACUUAAACUCCUCCACUUGGGGCAUGAUCUCAUCCCCGACCCGGAGAUGGCACUCCACCCUUUUCCGAGCGAGAACCAUGAACUCGGACUUGGAGGUGCUGAUUCUCAACUCAGCCGCUUCACACUCAACUGCAAACCGAUCCAGUGAGAGUUGAAGGUCACGGCUCGAUGAAGCCAGCAGGACCACAUCAUCUGCAAAAAGCAGAGACCCAAUCCUGCAGCCACCAAGCCGGAACCCCUCAACACCCUGGCUGCGCCUAGAAAUUCUGUCCAUAAAAGUGAUGAACAGAAACUGUGACAAAGGACAGCCCUGGCGGAGUCCAACCUUCACUAGAAAUGCGUCCGACUUUUUGCUUCUUAAAAAAGGGGACCACCACCCCGGUCUGCAAAUCCAGAGGCACCGCCCCCGAUGUCCACGUGACGCUGCAGAGUCGUGUCAACCAAGACACGCCCACAGCGUGAAGGAAUUCCGGGCGGAUCGCAUCCAUCCCCGGGGCCCUGCCACCGAGGAGCUUUUUAACCGCCUCAGCAACCUCAGCCCCGGAGAUAGCAGAGCCCACGGGAGUCCCCAGGCACUGCUUCCUCAUUGGAAGACAUGUCGGUGGGAUUGAGGAGGUCUUCGAAGUAUUCCUUCCACCAGUCCACAACAUCUCGAGUCGAGGUUAGCAGCACACCAUCCCCACCAUCCACGGUGUUGACCUUACGGCCACAGCUACAAUCAGCCGCCUCGACAAUGGAGGCACGGAACAUGGCCCACUCGGACUCAAUGUCCACCACCUCCCUCGGAACAUGGUUGAAGCUCUCCCAGAGGUGGGAGUUGAAACUCCUUCUGACAGGUGACUCUGCCAGACGUUCCCAGCAGACCCUCAAAAUACGUUUGAGCCUGCCAGGCCUGACCAGCAUCCUCCCUCACCGUCAGAGCCAACUCACCCCCAGGUGGUGAUCGGUUGACAGCUCCGCCCUCUCUUUACCCAAGUGUCCAAAACAUGUGGCGACACGAUCACAAAGUCGAUCAUAGAACUGCGGCCCAGGGUGUCCUGGUGCCAAGUGCACAUAUGAACACCCUUAUGGUUGAAUAUGGUGUUUGUUAUGGACAAUCUAGUCCAAUAACAAAACACUGCUCAGGUUCAGAUCUGGUGGGCCGUUCCUCCCAAUCACACCUCUCCAGAUCUCACUGUUGCUGCCAACGUGAGCGUUGAAGUCCCCCAGCAGAACAAGGGAAUCCCCCGAGGGAGCACUCCCCAAUAUUCCCUCUAAGGACUCCAAAAAGGGCGGGUAUUCUGAACUGCUGUUUGGCGCAUUAGCGCAAACAAUUGACUGGAGGGCAACAAGAAUUGCCACCCCUUCCCAUCGCCUCUCACUGCGCACUGCAUUUUAUCUUAACUUUUUAAUACUGACCGCAGUUAACUUCUUUUUACACUUUUAUGACAGAGACUAAAUUUAUAAUCCCUAAGUUAAAACAUCACUUAAACGCUUUCUACGCGAUGAUGUGACGUAAGCUGUGCAGUUCAAAAUGUCACAGAGGUGUCUAUGUUAACAUUUGGUGAGUGUCAGAUCAGUCACGUGUUUUUUCCUUUGUGAUCAAAGCAAUCAGUGAGCCUCCCAUGAAUGUUUGAUCACGUGAUCAAGAGCUGUGUGGUAUUGAUUUACAAUGACUCCAGUCAGUGCUUAUGUUUUUUUCUUCUGCACUUUGUCUUUGUAAUGAGGCUUUAACCCUGCUGUAAUGUCUCUCUUUAUGUCACCGUGCCGACAGUCUUCUCUCGGAAUCCGAUCACGUCCUGCAGUCUCGUCCGUCCUUAUUCAUUCGAGGAAAAGUGACACAUCAAGCGCAUCCGCAUUGUGUCCCAUGUCGUUGUUGCCCCCACAGUGAACCCUCCAGCUAAGUCACAUAGACACAUUCCUGUCUACUACUAUCUGAUACAGCAGUGUAUGAAAAAUUAAGACAAUUUUCUUCAUACACAUUCAUACACACAAAAUAUAUUUUUUCGUUUUUACAGUAUGAAAGGAGAGUGAAAAUUUGAGUAGACUCCAGACAAUCAGUUAGGUAGCAAGGGCUGAUGAGGCUGAAAGGAUAUGCAGUAAUCCCUCCUGCGGUUCAUUGCUUCCAGACUGACUGUCCAUCCAUCCAUUUUCUAUACCGCUUCUCCUCAUUAGGGUCACGGGGGUAUGCUGGAGCUUAUCCCAGCUGACUUCGGGCGACAGGCGGGGUACACCCUGGACUGGUCACCAGAAAAUCACAGGGCACAUAUAGACAAACAACCAUUCACACUCACAUUCAUACCUAUGGACAAUUUAGAGUCACCAAUUAACCUCACCUGCAUGUUUUGGGAAUGUGGGAGGAAGCCGGAGUACCCGGAGAAAACAAACGCGCACACACACAAAAAAUAGAAUUACAGACUGACUGUGAUAAGUGAAUUUCUGCAAAGUAGGAUUCCUUAUAUAUAAAUUGAAUAUUUUCGUAGUUUGAGCAUAGAAAACCUGUUUGCGACCUUUUAAAUAUUUUUAACAUUAUUAGAGCCCUCUAGACAUGAAAUAGCAUCCCUAUAGUCACCUUUAUACUACUAUUACCCAAUAUAGUAGACAUGAUAAAAGUAAAUGAGCCAUUUAAGACAUAAAUAAGACUUGUGCUUGUGUGUGUUGCUAUACAUGUAUUCCCUAGGGGAGAACAGUGAGUGGUGGGCAGGAAGUGACAUAGGCGGUUCAGAGUUGAGCUUCAUCUUGACAUAGGUUACGGCCACAACGGUAGCCUGUGUUUUUAUUCCGUGUUUUUAUUAAGGACUAUUGUGCCUGUUGUGAGAUCAUUCAAACCUGCAAUAAAAGCCUGUUGUUCUGGCGACCAAGUCUGGUGCUUUUGUGCCUCACCGAAUAUUGCAGUACCAUUACUGACACCUCGCGA